CUGAUAAUAUACUUUUCUUUUUAAGAUUGGAAUUAUUGGUGGAACUGGCCUGGACGAUCCAGAUAUCUUAGAAGAAAGAACGGAAAAAUAUGUUGAUACUCCCUAUGGCAAGCCAUCAGAUGCUUUGAUAUUGGGAAAGAUAAAAAAUGUGGACUGUGUGCUGUUGGCAAGACAUGGAAGGCAUCAUACAAUUAUGCCAUCAAAUGUAAAUUACCGUGCCAAUAUUUGGGCAUUAAAAGAAGAGAACUGCUCACAUAUUCUAGUGACUACUGCCUGUGGUUCAUUACGAGAAGAAAUACAACCUGGGGAUCUUGUCAUAAUUGACCAAUUCAUUGAUAGG